rnacentral:rRNA from 1 species
ACGGAAGGCAGCAGUGGGGAAUAUUGCACAAUGGGCGAAAGCCUGAUGCAGCGACGCCGCGUGAACGAAGAAGUAUUUCGGUAUGUAAAGUUCUAUCAGCAGGGAAGAUAAUGACGGUACCUGGAGAAAAAGCAACGGCUAACUACGUGCCGGCAGCCGCGGUAAUACGUAGGUUGCAAGCGUUGUCCGGAUUUACUGGGUGUAAAGGGCGUGUAGGCGGAGCUGCAAGUCAGAUGUGAAAUCCCGGGGCUCAACCCCGGAACUGCAUUUGAAACUGUAGCCCUUGAGUAUCGGAGAGGCAAGCGGAAUUCCUAGUGUAGCGGUGAAAUGCGUAGAUAUUAGGAGGAACACCAGUGGCGAAGGCGGCUUGCUGGACGACAACUGACGCUGAGGCGCGAAAGCGUGGGGAGCAAACAGGAUUAGAUACCCUGGUA